AUUGAACGCUGGCGGCAGGCCUAACACAUGCAAGUCGAGCGGAGCGGCGGACGGGUGAGUAAUGCCUAGGAAUCUGCCUGGUAGUGGGGGAUAACGUCCGGAAACGGGCGCUAAUGUCACAUACUAUCAGAUUAGCCUAGGUCGGAUUAGCUAGUUGGUGGGGUAAAGGCCCACCAAGGCGACGAUCCCUAACUGGUCUGAGAGGAUGAUCAGUCACACUGGAACUGAGACACGGUCCAGACUCCUACGGGAGGCAGCAGUGGGGAAUAUUGGACAAUGGGCGCAAGCCUGAUCCAGCCAUGCCGCGUGUGUUAAGAAGGUCUUCGGGUUGUAAAGCUCUUUAGGUUGGGAGGCGUUACCUACAGAAUAAGCACCGGCUAACUUCGUGCCAGCAGCCGCGGUAAUUC
rnacentral:rRNA from 1 species